AGCUUCCACAUCAGGCAAAUCCCAGACGAACUUCUCUAGCAAUCGGACUUCUAUCGAGCUUCACCAAUAGAAAGUCCCCAUCCGAGCUUCUACAGCAGAUGACUCCCGCCUGUAGCAUCAGUGCCCAAGGCAUCCGACAACAGUAGACUCGUCAGCAACCUCAAAAAUAUCCAAGCUUCUCCUAAAUUGCUGAGAUAGAAAGUCGUUCUGCUCCAUCA
rnacentral:lncRNA from 1 species